AGUUGCUUAUGAAAAAUCAAUUAACUUUUUUGAAAAAUAAUUUGUAGAAAGAGUGUUUAUAAAUAACUUUGUGGAGAGAAUCGGUAAAACGGAACGCAACUUAAACGACUACUCCUAUUCUUAAUUCUUCCUAAAACGAGUAUGGCUUUUUCUUUCUUUGUUUUGUAUGAUUUUUUUGUUGAUUAAAAAAGAUAUUUGUUUUCUCAUUCCUCUUAUUUCCAUAUCAAGAAACGACGUUUUAUCUUCAAUGGAAUUUCUAGUUGACAAAAGAUGGUCACAAUCAUCAUAUCAUCUUGCUCUUCAAUAAUGAAAUUUAAAAAGCCCUUGGUGCUUUGGCAGUGAACUGGGCGAUGGAGCGCUAGCGGAAGCGAAUAAUAGGAGGUGCCCUCAUCCUCCAUAGGGUGGUCCUGACGCAAAAAUGUAACAUGCGACGCUAACACCGAAUUAAAUAAUUAACAUUGA